rnacentral:rRNA from 1 species
AAUGAACGUUGGCGGCGUGGAUUAGGCAUGCAAGUCGUGCGGCAGCAGGCCCCGCAAGGGGUACUCGAGCGGCGAAAGGGAUAGUAAUGCGUGGAUACCUGCCCCUGGGACGGGGAUAGCUGCUGGAAACGGCAAUUAAUACCCGAUGCCGUCUCCGGACCAAAGGUGUAAUUCCGCCCGGGGAGGGGUCCGCGUCCUCGUAGCUAGUUGGCGAGGUAAUGGCUCACCAAGGCCACGAUGGGUAGCGGGUGUGAGAGCACGACCCGCAUCACUGGGACUGAGACACUGCCCAGACACCUACGGGUGGCUGCAGUCGAGGAUCUUCGGCAAUGGGCGAAAGCCUGACCGAGCGACGCCGCGUGCGGGAUGAAGGCCUUCGGGUUGUAAACCGCUUUCGGAGGGGAGGAAAUUCCGGUGGGAUCACCCAUCGGUUUGACCUAGCCUCGGAAGAAGGACGGGCUAACUUCGUGCCAGCCGCCGCGGUAACAC